CUACUAAGAUUUCCAACCCUGCCUUCAGUGGAGUUCCUCCUGAUCUAUGCUGGCAUGCUUGAGAGGAGAAUUUUUUGUCGAGAGCCUGUGCUACUAAGAUUUCCAACCCAAUGAUGCAGACUCAGGAGAACACUUCCAUUCUGAAACUAAGGCUACAUUAGCCAAGAGAAGCUGAUGCAAGAAAGAACAAAGAGGAUCAAUAAUUAUGCCAUGUUUACAAGCCAAUAAAGAUAGGCUUCUCCCCUUUGGCUAUAGGCCCACAUGAAGAAAAAGACAAACUGAGCACAAGCAUCCUAAAACACAUGCAUCAAGGUUGGCCUGUGAGAGACUGCAGAAGGGAAUGAAUUCCAGAGAUGAGGAUCUUCCAUCAGAAUGUCCUGCUGCCCAUGCCCUGGAGUUCAACCCCAGGGACAGAGAGCAAGAGCUGCCUUGUGGAACACAGCUGCUAUGAUGUGGCAUAGCAGGAGAGAUGGAUGUGGGAACCCAGACCAUUCAGAGCUUUGUAGGUAAUAAAAUCCUUCACUUGCUCUUGGGGGUGGAUUGGGAGCCAG